rnacentral:rRNA from 1 species
GAUGAACGCUAGCGGGAGGCCUAACACAUGCAAGCCGAGCGGUAUUGUUUCUUCGGAAAUGAGAGAGCGGCGUACGGGUGCGGAACACGUGUGCAACCUGCCUUUAUCUGGGGGAUAGCCUGUCGCAAGGAAGAUUAAUACUCCAUAACAUAUUGAUUGGCAUCAAUUAAUAUUGAAAGCUCCGACGGAUAGAGGUGGGCACGCGCAAGAGUAGCUAGUUGGUGAGGUACCGGCUCACCAAGGCAAGGAAGUUUAGGGGGCCUGAGAGGGUGAGCCCCCUCAGUGGUACUGCGACACGGACCAGACUCGUACGGGAGGCAGCAGUGAGGAAUAUUGGUGAAUGGGUGCAAGCCUGAACCAGCCAUCCCGCGUAAAGGACGACUGCCCUAUGGGUUGUAAACUUCUUUUGUAUAGGGAUAAACCUACCCUCGUGGGGGUAGCUGAAGGUACUAUACGAAUAAGCACCGGCUAACUCCGUGCCAGCAGCCGCGGUAAUAC